CCACAAUGAUGGCAAUAUUUUUCAUCAACAGAAAUUAACCUAGUGAGUUUUGAUAUUUAGGGUAUAAGUGA
ensembl:snoRNA